rnacentral:sRNA from 1 species
GCUGGGCAUGGUGGUGCACGCCCAUAAUCCCAGCUACUUGGGAGACUGAGGUGGUAGGAACUCUGAGGCCCAGGAGUUUGGGGCCAACCUGGGCAACACAAUGAGACUCCUGUCCCUU